GGAAGGAUCAUUACCACUAUCUGUAUCCAACCAAAAUACCAAACAAAAUACCAAACAAACGUGAUUCGUUCAAGUCUUUGCCGCCGCCGCUGGCAACCGUCCGUUAAUGGACGGCGGCGGCGGCGGCGGCAAAGGCUGCCAACCGUCAACCCAAAAAAAACUGUUACCUGCCUGUGCUGCAAACUAAACUCGGUGGCGGUGGUUUUAAAAACCGACCGGCCGCCCGAUCGAAAAAAGAAACUACUUUUAACAACGGAUAUCUCGGCUCUUGCAACGAUGACGAGCGCAGCGAAAUGCGAUAAGUAGUGUGAAUUGCAGAAUUCAGUGAAUCAUCGAGACCUUGAACGCAACUUGCGCUUGCAGGCACUCCUGCAAGCAUGCCUGUUUGAGUGUCGCCGUUAUCAAUUAACUAGCACUUUCCUCAUCCACUGUCGCCGCUGUGGCCGCUGCUGCUGUCGCUGAUUGACUGAGUGUUACACUCACUUUGCAGCAGCAACAGCAGUAGCAUCAGCAGUGGCAGCAACGAGUGGGUGGUUACGAUCAUUGUUGUGUGUGCCGGCUUGACUGCUACAACAUGACAACAUUGGUUCUGAUGAAGCAAAAAACUGAAAUAACAAUGAUGCAUCCUGUAAUUGUUGUUGUUGAUAAUCGAUCGAUCGAUCGAUCGAUCAAUGGGGGGGGUAGGGAGGGUUUUUCUCUCUCUCUUUUCUUCCUUUUGUUCUUUCUUUCUUUCUUCAAACAACAAAAACAGACAAACAGAGAAUAUAAGCACCCAAAUAUUUAAUUGUUCAAUCAAUGAUGAUGACGACGACGACGACGACGAACUUAUUUGAGUGUGCAGCAAAAAGACUGCAACAAUUCUUCUGUUGGUUGUGAAAGUUGCUCAUUCAUUGUUGUUACUGCUGACGCUGUCAUUGUCGGUUGUUGUUGUUGUUGUCGUUAAUAACGACGACGACGAUGAUGACGACGACGACGAUGACAAUGUCAUCCAUCCGUUUGUGAUGAUCUCGAUCCUCGACCUCAAAUCAGGUAAGAUAACCCGCUGAAUUUAAGCAUAUAAUUAAGCGGAGGAAAAGAAACUAACCAGGAUUCCCUCAGUAACGGCGAGUGAAGAGGGAACAGCUCAAGCCGAAAAUCCGGGGGAGAUCCUCUCCUUGAAUUGUAGUUUGGCGAGCGACAAUUACGGAUAGGGGACCCUGGGACAAGUCCUCUGGAAAGAGGCACCGAGGAGGGUGACAGUCCCGUCCACGCCCAGGGCACGAGCAACGCUUCCGAGCCCCUGUCGACACGUACUGUCGGUUCUCAGAGUCGGGUAGUUUGGGAAUGCUGCCCUAAACGGGUCGUAAAUUUGAUCUAAGGCUAAACAAUGGCAGGAGACCGAUAGCGAACAAGUAGCGUGAGCGAAAGAUGCAAAGAACUUUGAAAAGAGAGUUAAAAGUGCUUGAAAUUGUUAAAAGGGAAGCGUUUGGGAUCAAAUUGGCUCCCGGCCGAAUCAGUUGGGGGGCGGGGCUCUCGGUCGUCGCCGGAGCAGCCUCUCGGGGCUGCCCGACGGCAGCCGUCGGGCCUCGCCAACCGAUGCACUUUGGUCGGGAGCAAAUCAACGUGGAUUCGAGAAGGGGCAGAAACGCGGGGGAAAGGUACCAGGGUUGGUCCUCAUCGGCCAACAAUGGGUUACAGUUUCCCGUGGACGAUACCCCUUCCGUCGGAUCGAGGCAUUCUCAAAAGGGUGAAGGUCGGUGUUCGCAAGGACGAAACAGGCUGCUCGACGGGGUCUUGGGGCGGGUAACACUACCUAGUAGUGUUGCUUGUCCCAGGGCGUCGUGCGAGUAGUGCUUAUCUGCCGACCAAAGACGUUGAAUAAAUUCUGGUCUCAACCGACCCGUCUUGAAACACGGACCAAGGAGUCUAACGUAUGUGCGAGUACAAGGGUAAAGAAACCCUGGUGCACAAUGAAAGUGAUUUUGUGGUGGGAAUCUGCAGGACUUUCGUUCGACGGCCCUGCUCAAGCACCAUCAGCCGAUCUGGAUAUUUUUGGAUGGAUUCGAGUCAGAGCACAUCUGUUGGGACCCGAAAGAUGGCGAACUAUGCUUGCAGAGGGCGAAGCCAGAAGAAAUUCUGGUGGAGGCUCGUAGCGAUACUGACGUGCAAAUCGUUCGUCUAAUGUGAGUAUAGCGGCGAAAGACUGAUCGAGCUGUUUAGUAGCUGGUUCCCUC
rnacentral:misc_RNA from 1 species